CCUACGGGAGGCAGCAGUGAGGAAUAUUGGUCAAUGGGCGCGAGCCUGAACCAGCCAAGUAGCGUGAAGGAUGACUGCCCUACGGGUUGUAAACUUCUUUUAUAAAGGAAUAAAGUGAGGCACGUGUGCCUUUUUGUAUGUACUUUACGAAUAAGGAUCGGCUAACUCCGUGCCAGCAGCCGCGGUAAUACGGAGGAUCCGAGCGUUAUCCGGAUUUAUUGGGUUUAAAGGGAGCGUAGAUGGGUUGUUAAGUCAGUUGUGAAAGUUUGCGGCUCAACCGUGAAAUUGCCAUUGAUACUGGCAGGCUAGAGGACAGUUGAGGUAGGCGGAAUUCGUGGUGUAGCGGUGAAAUGCAUAGAGAUCACACAGAACACCGAUUGCGAAGGCAGCUUACUAAACUGCCACUGACAUUGAUGCACGAAAGUGUGGGGAUCAAACGGGAUUAGAUACCCCUGUAGUC
rnacentral:rRNA from 1 species